AGUGGGGUGCCUGAGAAAAAGGGUUGUUUUGAUAGAGCAAAUCACGCGUAUCCCGCCCUCACUG
rnacentral:tRNA from 2 species